UCCUGGUUAACCCAGGCAGUCUCAUUAGAGUUCCCACCUUUACGUGCUGGCAACUAAUGAUAAGGGUUGCGCUCGUUGCUGGACUUAACCAAACACCUCACGGCACGAGCUGACGACAGCCAUGCAGCACCUGUUCAGCAGUCCCGAAGGAAGAUCCUAUUUCUAGGACUGUCUACUGUAUGUCAAGACUGGGUAAGGUUCUUCGCGUUGCAUCGAAUUAAACCACAUGCUCCACUGCUUGUGCGGGUCCCCGUCAAUUCUUUUGAGUUUCACCCUUGCGAGCGUACUCCCCAGGCGGUAUACUUAUCGCGUUAGCUUCGACACAACCAGGGUUGAGUCCGGUUACAUCAAGUAUACAUCGUUUACAGUAAGGACUAC
rnacentral:misc_RNA from 1 species